CUCGAAUUAUUUGGAACAAAAAAUUCGGAUCUAGAUAACUAGAUAAUAUAAUGAUCGAGAUUCAUAUCAUUAUCUGUAAAUA
rnacentral:tRNA from 1 species